rnacentral:rRNA from 1 species
UACGUAGGGAGCAAGCGUUGUUCGGAGUUACUGGGCGUAAAGGGUGCGUAGGCGGCUUUUUAAGUUUGGUGUGAAAUCUCCCGGCUCAACUGGGAGGGUGCGCCGAAUACUGAGAGGCUAGAGUGUGGGAGAGGAAAGUGGAAUUCCUGGUGUAGCGGUGAAAUGCGUAGAUAUCAGGAGGAACACCGGUGGUGUAGACGGCUUUCUGGACCGUAACUGACGCUGAAACACGAAAGCGUGGGUAGCAAACAGG